rnacentral:lncRNA from 1 species
UUGAGUAUGUUGAUUAAGUGGCUCGAGUUAGAUUCUUAAGUAGUAUUUGGACUUAUGAUUCGCAUGACAUAGAAAAAUGACAUGGCCAAUUUAGUGGGAGCUAUGUUGUGACAUACAUAUCAUACUAAUAUGUGCUAUAUGAUGACUGAUAUAGGGAGUGACAAAAUAAUUCCCUACUUUAUCAUUGUGUAAAACCUAUUGACUCUUGUGUCCUCCUUGUAUGAUACCUUUCGACUUGGAGCUAUCACAUGAAGUCAAGAUUUGAUGUUGCUACUUUAAUAUAUUUCCAAGGGUCACGACCUAUACGGUCUAAAUGAGCAAGUUAGGAAAGCAGUCAAGUUGAGAUGGAUUGUUAUGAGUAUCUAAGGAAGAAUCUUUCUGACAUCAUCACAUGAGCCUGAGCAGUUAUAUUUUGUAUAUAAUCAAGUAAUAUAAUUAUACCAUAGAGGGACAUUGUAUGCUAAC